UCUGGGUUGGAUGAGUGGCGAACGGGUGAGUAACACGUGAGUAACCUGCCCUCUUCUUUGGGAUAACGGUCGGAAACGGCUGCUAAUACCGGGUAUUCACUGUCCUUCGCAUGGGGGGUGGUGGAAAGGUUUUUUCUGGUGGGGGAUGGGCUCGCGGCCUAUCAGCUUGUUGGUGGGGUGAUGGCUUACCAAGGCUUUGACGGGUAACCGGCCUGAGAGGGUGACCGGUCACAUUGGGACUGAGAUACGGCCCAG
rnacentral:rRNA from 1 species